CCUACGGGAGGCAGCAGUGGGGAAUAUUGGACAAUGGGGGGAACCCUGAUCCAGCCAUGCCGCGUGUGUGAAGAAGGCCCUCGGGUUGUAAAGCACUUUCAGUGAGGAAGAACGCCUGGUGGUUAAUACCCAUCAGGAAAGACAUCACUCACAGAAGAAGCACCGGCUAACUCCGUGCCAGCAGCCGCGGUAAUACGGAGGGUGCGAGCGUUAAUCGGAAUUACCGGGCGUAAAGCGCGCGUAGGUGGCUUGAUAAGCCGGUUGUGAAAGCCCCGGGCUCAACCUGGGAACGGCAUCCGGAACUGUCAAGCUAGAGUGAAGGAGAGGAAGGUAGAAUUCCCGGUGUAGAGGUGAAAUGCGUAGAGAUCGGGAGGAAUACCAGUGGCGAAGGCGGCCUUCUGGACUGACACUGACACUGAGGUGCGAAAGCGUGGGUAGCAAACAGGACUAGAUACCCGAGUAGUC
rnacentral:rRNA from 1 species